rnacentral:rRNA from 1 species
AUGAUCUUGCCCACAUAUACCAGAAAAAUGGGUACUCAAGGCAUGAAAUGGAGAUGGCUAGUAGAAACACAAACCAAUAAUAGGUCAAAGCAAACCAUACUAUAUGAUGAGAACAAGAAAAACAGUACUAGAAGGCAAAUAUGGCAUAGUAAUAACCUGCAACAUUUGUCACAGAAGAAUUUGUCCUCAGCAUUUAAAGUCUCAGUGGAGCUGAAAUUUUUCAGGCAGCUUGUAAUGGAACUAUUCUGCUCAAUGUCAACACUCAGAUCAAAAAAAGUUUCGUCCCUUGCAGUUACUGUCUCACAUCUUAAGCAUUUGGUUUCAUUGGUCAGUAUGCCCUGUGUAGGUUGUAAAAAUAAAUAA